AUGCUUAUCUGGCAGGGAAAUACCAUGACCACGAUGGUGUUUUUCCCCAGGAGGAGGCUUAUCCAUUCAUUGUACUCUGAAUUUUCUGACCACUGUGAUUCCCCAAAUGCAGGAAACUGGACUGCAGAGUUUGUGGUAGUUAUGUAAUGCUUCGAACAUUA
rnacentral:snRNA from 1 species